CUUUCACUUUCGAUUUACUACUUCCGGGCAGCAGUCGAAAAAUGUCACUUUGUUUUGCGUUGGUUAUGCUCAGAUGACAAGUGUCAAAAUGAACCUACAGCCUAUAUAGAUUCCCUACUUAUGCAAAAAGAAGAAGAAGUGGAUUUAUAGUUGCAGAUGCUGUUAUAUACAUCAUUUCCUUCAGAAGUAUCAAUGUGUUGGCGGCUGUUAUGAAGAGAAUGGGGCCCAUUUUAACAACUUCUAGGAUGGGCAGUACUUGGGUUCAUACCAGUGAUCAAUUUCUCAUGACUCUUAUGAAGUUGCACCUAAAUCUAAGGGAUCUACAUUUAGCAGGCCAGAGGGCUCAAUGCCGAAUUUACCUCUGAAAAAAUCGCAAUGGAUACAACAAACAUAACACUGAAUUUAACUUUAAAAUUGAAUAACUAGUCAUUAUCUGACAGCAACUACAUUGUGCAAAAUUUGUCACACAGCAAAGGCUAUCACUUGUGUAGCAUAAUUGUUCUGAAUUCUAUCCAGAAUCCACCUCUGAUGGUGACAUUGUUGAUCACUGAGGUGUAUUGGAGAUAUUGAAGCCAUAUGAUAUAUGAUUCUUGCUAAUAAAGGAUUUGAUAUAUUUGAUAAACUUUAAUCAGGAGUGACAUUAAACAUAUCACCUUUUCUUUCA